UACGUAGGGUGCAAGCGUUAAUCGGAAUUACUGGGCGUAAAGCGUGCGCAGGCGGCUUUUUAAGUCUGUUGUGAAAGCCCCGGGCUCAACCUGGGAAUUGCGAUGGAGACUGCAAGGCUUGAAUCUGGCAGAGGGGGGUAGAAUUCCACGUGUAGCAGUGAAAUGCGUAGAGAUGUGGAGGAACACCGAUGGCGAAGGCAGCCCCCUGGGUCAAGAUUGACGCUCAUGCACGAAAGCGUGGGGAGCAAACAGG
rnacentral:rRNA from 1 species